rnacentral:rRNA from 1 species
CUCAGGACGAACGCUGGCGGCGUGCCUAAUACAUGCAAGUCGAGCGGACGAAUCGAAAGCUUGCUUUUGAUUCGUUAGCGGCGGACGGGUGAGUAACACGUGGGCAACCUGCCCUGUAGACGGGGAUAACACCGAGAAAUCGGUGCUAAUACCGGAUAACACGAAAUGUCGCAUGACGUUUCGUUGAAAGACGGCGCAAGUUGUCGCUACAGGAUGGGCCCGCGGCGCAUUAGCUAGUUGGUGAGGUAACGGCUCACCAAGGCGACGAUGCGUAGCCGACCUGAGAGGGUGAUCGGCCACACUGGGACUGAGACACGGCCCAGACUCCUACGGGAGGCAGCAGUAGGGAAU